GUCAAGAAGUGGGACCAAAGUGAGCUCACCUUGAUGGAUCGGUGACCUCUGGAAUCACAUGAAGUUCCCACAUUGAGCCCCUUUGAGCUCUCCAGUCCUACAGCUCACCUUUUCUGUCAUGGUGAAUCUCCUCUCAGGUUCUUGAACUCCCUCAUUUUGCCAUUAUACAAUUCAGUGAGUCCUAGCUGAAAUGUAAAAUCACCUGAGAAACUAACCACUAAAUUUGAGGCUUUAAAAAAAAAAGCUGGACUGUGCUGCUGCCAUCUCGGCUCACUGCAACCUCCCUGCCUGAUUCUCCUGACUCAGCCUGCCGAGUGCCUGCGAUUGCAGGCGCGCGCUGCCACGCCUGACUGGCUUUCGUAUUUUUUUGGUGGAGACGGGGUUUCGCUGUGUUGGCCGGGCUGGUCUCCAGCUCCUAACCGCGAGUGAUCGGCCAGCCUCGGCCUCCCGAGGUGCCGGGAUUGCAGACGGAGUCUCGUUCACUCGGUGCUCAAUGGUGCCCAGGCUGGAGUGCAGUGGCGUGAUCUCGGCUCACUACAACCUCCACCUCCCAGCCGCCUGCCUUGGCCCCCCAAAGUGCCGAGAUUACAGCCUCUGCCCGGACGCCACCCCGUCUGGGAAGUGAGGAGCGUCUCUGCCUGGCCGCCCAUCGUCUGGGAUGUGAGGAGCCCCUUUGCCUGGCUGCCCAGUCUGGAAAGUGAGGAGCGUCUCUGCCCGGCUGCCAUCCCACCUAGGAAGUGAGGAGCACCUCCUCCCGGCGGCCAUCCCAUCUAGGAAGUGAGGAGUGUCUCUGCCCGGCCGCCCAUUGUCUGAGAUGUGGGGAGCGCCUCUGCCCGGCCGCCCCGUCUGGGAUGUGAGGAGCACCUCUGCCCCGCCGCCCCGUCUGGGAGAAUUGAAUCCAAGAGGAAGAGAAGCAUCCUUCCUUCAGUGCCUUUGUGGUGGUGCUUGGUGAGAGAUAGUGGUGAAGGCAUUGCCUAAAGAGAGAGGCACUAACAGGCAGAGGAGUGGUUGAGACCAGUAAGAACUGCCCUGCCUGGUGGAGCAGAGGCAGAAGCUGAUGCCCAGGCUCUGCAGCAUCUAUAGGGAACUUGGUGCCUGCAGUGCUCAUCAAAUGAUCCAGAGGCCUCCUUGAACACUGCAAAACCCAGAAGAAAUUACCAUGCCAACGGAGCAGAACCAGAUCCUUUGGGGAAACACAGCGCUGGUGGAAGAACUAUAGCUCCAGUAAGCAAAUGUGGUGCCUGGUGGGUGGUUGCUGAAUCAGUGUGUGUUUGUGAGCAUAUGUGAGACACCCACUGAAGAUGCCUAAAAACACCUCUAGAAACUGACAUUUUAAAAGGAGACUGAAGUCCUGCAUUAUGCAGGUGCUGUGAGCCUGUGACUAUUGGGUUAUUCCACUUAAUGUGACUUAUUUGUAUCUACAAGCUAGUGGAAGCUGGGUGCCAUAGUUCAGAUAUUUUUUCCCCCAAAACCUCAUGUUGAAAUUUGAUCCCCAGUGUUGGAGAUGGGGCCUAAUGGAAAAUAUCUGAGUCAUGGAGGUGGAAGCUUUAUGAAUGGAUUAACCUCCUCACUGUGGGGGUGGUGAGUUCUUACUCUCUUAGUUCCCAUGAAAGCUGGUUGUUAAAAAGAGCCUUGCAGGGCGCGGUGGCUCAUGCCUGUAAUCCCAGCACUUUGGGAGGCUGAGGUGGGCGGAUCACCUGAGGUCAGGAGUUCAAGACCAGCCUGGCCAAUAUGGUGAAACCCUGUCUCUACUAAAAAUACAAAAAUUAGCCAGGUGUGGUGGUACAUGCCUGUACUCCCAGCUACUUGGGAGGCUGAGGCAGGAGAAUCACUUGAACCUGGGAGGUGGAGGUUGCAGUGAGCUGAGAUUGCGCCAGUGCACUCCAGCCUGGGUGACAGAGAGAGAUUCCAUCUCAAAAAAAAAAAAAAAAAAAAAGCCUGGCACUUCCUCUCUCUGUCUCUUUCAUUCCUCUCUCACUGUGUCUCUGCACAUACCAGCUUCUCUUUGCCUUCUGCCAUGAGUGAAAGCAGCCUGAGGCCCUCACCAGAUGCCCAAUUUUGAACGUUCCAGCCAGCAAA